rnacentral:rRNA from 1 species
GCAUAACGCGAAGAACCUUACCUAGGCUUGACAUGCAUCUCUAAGCGCGUGAAAGCGCGUGACCCUUCGGGGGAUUUUGGCACAGGUGCUGCAUGGCCGUCGUCAGCUCGUGUCGUGAGAUGUUGGGUUAAGUCCCGCAACGAGCGCAACCCUUGUGAUUAGUUGCCAGCACGUCAUGGUGGGAACUCUAAUCAGACUGCCCAGAUCAACUGGGAGGAAGGUGGGGACGACGUCAGGUCAGUAUGGCCCUUACGCCUAGGGCUGCACACGUACUACAAUGCCCAGUACAAUGAGAACCGAGACCGCGAGGUGGAGGAAAUCUAAAAAACUGGGCCCAGUUCGGAUUGGAGGCUGCAACUCGCCUCCAUGAAGCCGGAAUCGCUAGUAAUGGCACAUCAGCUACGGUGCCGUGAAUACGUUCCCGGGUCUUGUACACACCG